rnacentral:rRNA from 1 species
UACGUAGGGGGCAAGCGUUGUCCGGAAUCAUUGGGCGUAAAGAGCGUGUAGGCGGCCCGGUAAGUCCGCUGUGAAAGUCCAGGGCUCAACCCUGGGAUGCCGGUGGAUACUGUCGGGCUCGAGUCCGGAAGAGGAGUGUGGAAUUCCUGGUGUAGCGGUGAAAUGCGCAGAUAUUAGGAGGAACACCGGUGGCGAAGGCGGCUGCCUGGACCGAUAUUGACGCUGAGACGCGAAAGCGUGGGUAGCAAACAGG